rnacentral:tRNA from 1 species
GGUGGCUCAAUGGUAGAGUACUUGCCUCGCAUGCAUGAGGCCCUGGGUUCAAUUCCUCAGCACCA